GGAAGUAAAAGUCAUAACAAGGUUUCCGUAGGUGAACCUGCGGAAGGAUCAUUAUUGUAUAACCGAGGUGCGAGGGCUGUCGCUGACCCGAAAGGUCGUGCACGCCCGAGUGCCCUCACACUCAUCCAUCUCACCCCUAUGUGCACCACCGCGUGGGUCCCCCUUUGGCUUGUUCGGAGGGGGGCUUACGUUUUCACACAAACUUUGUAUGCAGUGUAGAAUGUAUUUUUUGUUUUUGCGAUCACGCAAUCAAUACAACUUUCAACAACGGAUCUCUUGGCUCUC
rnacentral:misc_RNA from 1 species